AGGUUUCAAACUUGAAUCGUCAAAUGCCGCACUGUAAAUGGACUUAAGCUUGGAUUCAACGUUUAUGAAGUCUUCCCUAGAAGGCAAAGAAGGUGAGGAAGUAAUCCAUUCUUCUCGCUCUUUCAACAACCAAACAGGCGGAUCAGGGAUUAGUUUGACCUCUUUUGGUUGUGGAAAAUUGGGUCCAACAAUACCCAGGGGCCGACGAGCAUCUAAACUCAGAUACGCGUCGUCAACAUCAUAGCUGACGACUAUUGUUACGUCAUGCGCCUUAUGAUCCUCGUUUAAAGACAAAUUAGCUCGGAACGAACCGACCAAGCUAAGAGAUUGACCAUCAACACCAGAAAUGACGGAGAUUGACGAACGUUGAUCUAGAGUGCACAGAAUUGAAGGCUGACCGACUUGGACGAUUUGUGGGGUGAAACCAUAACGUUGAUGCGUUUCUCGCGCUCACGAGCGGAAGACGAAGCCACUUGGAGAUGUACCCCACCCGCAUGUUUCUCCUCUCUCCUUGAGCUCUUUUGACGGCAGACGGGUUGCCAAUACCCAGUACGACCACACGCAUGGCAAGACGAUUUCAAUGCUGGACAUUCGUCACCAGAGUGGGUCUUAGAAAGACCGCACAGUGGGCACUGCUCGGAUGGUAAAGUCUUGUUAAAAGUCAUCUUACCCGAUUUGCCCCCAUUUUUGUAUUGAGACUUGGGCACAUGGACAACUUGAUCAAGAACCUCCAGGGUUGAAGAUGAAGACUGAUGACUGAAAUCACGCGCACCCCGUCUAGCAGUCUCAAGUUCAAGUAUGCACUUGCAGGCUUCAUUGAAUGUUGAAGGAUUGCGUUCCAUAACCUUGGCCUUAUCGGAGUCAUUCUUCAUCCCCUGUAACAAGAGUGCAAUGACAAGACGAUCCUCGGUGAUCUUGGCGGCGUCUGCAUAAUCUGCCAAUUCUCAAAGGGAGUCAGAGAAAGAUAAAUAAUCCUGACCCUCCUUCUGUCUCACAGCCAAAAGGUCUCGCAUAUCGAGGUGAGUAUUUCGGAGACUGCGAAGGUGCUCCUCAAUUAGGUCCAAAAUCUCGACCAGCGUACGACCUGUAUUGGUUUUGAUCCCAAGUGAAUGUUGGAUGAUACUUCAAAAUCCCGAAGAACAACAUUCCCAGAAGAGUCCAACCUGGGUAAGUUGGUCCCUUUGAUCUAGAUAAAUCAGGAGAGAGUAAUUAUCCCAUAAAGGACGCCACCGUGUGAACACUUUAUGAUCUGUGUCCUCUUGUAGUAACGGAGGUUUCUUCGCAUCUAACCGAGGAAGAGAUAAAGCCUGCCCAGAUUCACGAGUGGGAUGAGGUCGAUUCUCACCCGCUGCUCAGAGCAGUGAAGCUUCGGCAUCACGUUGAAAACCGAUCAAUUUGGAUUGGGCUUUGAAAAGAGCCUCGAGGUGUUCCUCUGCAGCUGGAUCUGCAUCUUUGGAAUCAGAUGAUAGAUGGCAAACGACCUGAUCUUCGGCUUAUUUGGCCACAUUCCUCGCCCGUGAAAGAUCUGCCUUGAAGCCUUUACGACUGGCUUUCAAGACCUGGACGGCCUCACGAUUGGACAUGCUGAAGAUUCAAGACGGGAACCACUGGAAAUCCACAAAUCAACACCACGAUGGCACGGGAUGGAUUGGAUCCAAGGAUGAUCACGUACAAAUAACAGACCACACAACCCGAAGUCUCAGAUCAGGGAUAGCCGUAGACGGAACGUACAUUUAAGAGUUCGUACAGACCGACUGCGCCAUCGCAUGAUCGUAUUGAGUGGACAAAAGCGGAGGACACAUAGAUCGAGUAAAGGUUCAGAUGGAAGUGUAUUUCUCGACAAGACAUGCUCAGAAGUAAACGUCAAUCAUAACUCGCAUGACAACAUCACAACAUACCAAAUAUAUUAUAAUAUUUCAA